UACGUAGGGCGCAAGCGUUAUCCGGAAUUAUUGGGCGUAAAGAGCUCGUAGGCGGUUUGUCGCGUCUGCCGUGAAAGUCCGGGGCUCAACUCCGGAUCUGCGGUGGGUACGGGCAGACUAGAGUGAUGUAGGGGAGACUGGAAUUCCUGGUGUAGCGGUGAAAUGCGCAGAUAUCAGGAGGCACACCGAUGGCGAAGGCAGGUCUCUGGGCAUUAACUGACGCUGAGGAGCGAAAGCAUGGGGAGCGAAAAGG
rnacentral:rRNA from 1 species